UAUACUUGGUGUGAAUUGCAGAAUCCCGUGAACCAUCGAGUCUUUGAACGCAAGUUGCGCCCGAAGUCUUUUGGCCGAGGGCACGUCUGCCUGGGCGUCACGC
rnacentral:rRNA from 2 species